UAGGGCGAAAAAUUUUGGUAAGCAAAGUGUGUCCGAGGAUUCGAAUGGGUAUGAUAAAUGUUUUGUGGGCCCAUCGGAAGUAGGGGCACAAGGGGUCAAUUUUGAAAUAUCCAAUGGAAACAUAUCCGAUUUUGGCAUAAUUGGAUAGAACUGUAAAAAAACAAAGUUUUUAAUAUUACCUAUGUGAUUGUGAGAUAUGCAAAAAAAGAUGCUACCACAUGUAUCGCCAAUUGGGCUAUUCAUGUAUUAGGAAGAAGAAUCUAACAAAUGGCAUUUGUGUACUUGUAUGUACCUUGCAGAACACUACUGAAGCAGCAAAGAGCAGUAUUAUGCACAUUAGAUUCACUAUGGUAGCACUCGAAUCACAGAUGCAACAAGUCUAUCGCGAACACAGUUUGGCAUGGAACAAUACUCAAUUUCAAGGAUUUCCUGACUUGUUUCAGCCUUUUGAGUGCACGUUGAGUUUGGCAUAAUUGGC
rnacentral:lncRNA from 1 species